AUCUGGUUUGCUUUCACAGGGCACACUGUCCACCCUGAUUGCACAGCCUACCCACCAUUCUGUGGGCUACCAGCUGGCUCUGGGAGCCGUGGGGGCUCAUCCAAGGGGGGUGAUUCUGACUUAAGGGAUGGUGGGCAGAUGUGUCAGUGGUUCAGCCAAAGCCAAAGGUGACUUGGGUUGAGCUCUCUGACUUCCUUCUCAUUUCCCUUUAGGUCUCAUACUAUCUCUGGUUGGCUUGGAACACGAGAAGAGGAAGGAGCUCAAAACUAGGCCCUCUGCCUUGAAAGCCUCC